UUUUCUUUCAGACAUGUUUUGAGGAGCUAGCCUCACCCUGCAAAGAAAUGACCUGAUCCUCCCCCAAGUCACGUCAGAGUUGAGGAAGACGGUGACCAGACUGGAAGCACUAAAGCUUAGGGCAAAGGCAGGUUGGCAUGCUGGACAAGAUCCAGACCAUGCUUGCUCAUGAUGAGAGGAGAUUCCAGGGAAUAACACUGAAGGGGAAUCUGAAAGGCUUCAUGGACCUCACCCCAAUCCCCAGCUGAAGCAGCACAUGGAGGCGGCGAUCAACAUCGGCGUGGAU